rnacentral:rRNA from 1 species
UUUAACUGAAGAGUUUGAUCAUGGCUCAGAUUGAACGCUGGCGGCAGGCUUAACACAUGCAAGUCGAGCGGGGGAAGGUAGCUUGCUACUGGACCUAGCGGCGGACGGGUGAGUAAUGCUUAGGAAUCUGCCUAUUAGUGGGGGACAACAUCUCGAAAGGGAUGCUAAUACCGCAUACGUCCUACGGGAGAAAGCAGGGGAUCUUCGGACCUUGCGCUAAUAGAUGAGCCUAAGUCGGAUUAGCUAGUUGGUGGGGUAAAGGCCUACCAAGGCGACGAUCUGUAGCGGGUCUGAGAGGAUGAUCCGCCACACUGGGACUGAGACACGGCCCAGACUCCUACGGGAGGCAGCAGUGGGGAAUAUUGGACAAUGGGGGGA